rnacentral:lncRNA from 1 species
AAUUAUAAUUUUCAUUAAAUUACCUAUGAUAAACCGGUUUUACAAAACUACCCCUUAUAGAACCACCAUGAAACCACAUUAUUUAGAAUGGGUAAAGAAGUAAACUUACAAAUAACAAAAAACAAUCAUUAUAUGAUUUAUAUCUCUCCCUUUUCUCAGAAACAAAAAUGAACAAAAGAAAGGAUUUUUUUCUUUUUCUUUCUGAAACAACACAGAAAAAAAAAAAGUGAUAAACCUAAAAAAAAAAAGAAUCACAGCCGCAGACAACACUCGCAGAGAAUAGGGAUAGAUUCAUAGAUCUCUUUUGAAAACUUUCCCAGCAGAGGGUCUCCAACUUUUACACACCCAAGAAAGGAUUUCUUCUACACAACCCUCUGCAAUACACUAAAUUAGUCCAGUCGGGGUUUCAUUAUGCUUUAGUAAGGGGGAAACCUGGGUUUAGCAAUCCAGGUCGCAGACGCACCCCAGGCAUCACUAUUCCAAUCGAAUUGCGACUCUAGAUACAACGAAUCUCCGCCGUGUAUGUACUUCCGAUAGCCGCCGUCGUCGGCGGUCUUGACAGGCGAACAAAUCGCGACUCCACAACCUUUUUCAAGCUCAAAAUCCUCCUCCUCUACGAAUCAUACCCUUUUGAUUUUCAUUUUUCCCCUAAACCCAGAUAACUCAUCUAGCCUCUGCAUAUUUUACUUAAGCAGGGUAGAUUUGAUCGGUUGAAUUGUUGACUAUUAACAUUUAGGGCUAAUUACAUAAAAGUCCACUUGGAGACAUUUUCUCCUAUAUAGGUCCACCUAAACAUUUUCUCCUAUAUAGGUCCACCUAAACAUUUUUAUUCAUAUAAGUCCACCCAAGCCUAAAUAGAGUCUUAUCUUAGGUAUUAAAGUUCAACAAAAUUACAGAAUACCAUCCAACCAAAAAAAUUAGAUUUUCUCUUUUAUAUUUACAAAAAUGUCACUAAUGUAAAAAGUCAACAACCACAAAUGAUCUCCGGUUGACCUCAGACAAGGUCUCCGGCCGACCUCCGGCAAACUUUCCGGCCGACCUCCGGCGAACUUCCGGCCGACCAUCUAUGAGGAUUCUAGUGACCACAAAAGCUACUACCAGUGACAACAAAAGAUACUACUGCCGACAAAGAAAGUUACUACCACUGACAACAAAAGAUACUACCGAUAGCAAAAAAAAACUACUGCCACCAGCAACCAGCAAAGAAAUCUACUACCGAUAGCAACAAAAACUACUACUACCAGCAAAGAAAACUACUACCACCGACAAAGAAAGCUACAACCACUGACAACAAAAAAUACUACUGCCACCAGCAAAGAAAUCUACUACCGAUAGCAACAAAAGCUAUUACCACCAGCAAAGAAAGCUACUACCACUGACAACAAAAUAUACUAUUGAUACAAAAACUACUGCCGCCAGCAAAGAAAACUACUACCACUGACAACAAAAGAUACUACCGAUAGCAAAAAAAGCUACUGCCACCAACAAAGAAAGCUACUACCAAUAGCAACAACAACUACUACAGAUAGCAACAAAAACUACUACCGAUAGCAACAAAAGCUACUAAGACCAGCAAAGAAAGCUACUACCACUGACAACAAAAGAUACUACCGACAACAAUAAAAGCUACUGUCACCAGCAAAGAAAGCUACUACUACCACUGACAACAAAAGAUACUACUGUGUCAGUGAGCUGUGACUUGGUUGGUUAAGGUGUUUAACUGACAACUUUGAGGUCAUGGGUUCAAACCUCACGACAUAUGUAGAGUGUGUGAGUUUAUUAAUAAAUUUAAAAAAAAAAAAAACAAAGAUACUACUGUCAGUAACAAAAGCUACUACCACCAGCAAAAAAAAAUACUACCACCAGCAACAAAACUACUACGAUGAGAUUUCUGACAAUAUCCGGCAAGGUCACAAAAGAUACUAUCGCUAGCAACAAAAGUUACUACUAAGCAUCACAAAAACUACUAUUACCAGCAACGAAAACUACUACCAAGCAGGAAAAAAAACUACUACCAAGCAGAUGAAAAACUACUACCAAGUAUAACAAAAGUUAUGAAAGCUACUUUUAGAGACCUACAAAACUAUGAAAUGUAAACGAUACGACUAAUAAAAAUGUUAUUGCAAUCGAGAGAAUAUAAUAAAUUCCAUGGUACAAAAAAUAUGAAGCCUUCUACAUUGAUAUGGUCAUGUACAAAGAUUACAUAAAACUACUACUGUAGUUCCAGAAGUCUACUACAAUAGUUUUAUAAAGCUACUAUCAGUUUUCUAUGGAUGAUACUCGACACUCAUAGGCAUACUUUUUCCACCUUGAGCAUGAUUUUCUUGGUUGGCCCACUGAUCUCUAUGGAAGCUCUGAUUCCCAAACUCACAUGAUUUUCGUAAUCUAUUACGGCUAUGAUAAGGGAAGAAUUCUGCAAGAAUAAAGAUGCAACAAAAUAUUAGUAUUAAAAUGGAAAUAGUAGCUUUUGACAUCAUGUUGAAAAGAUACUAGCAUAGAGUUAGAAUGCUACUAUCACUAUGGUUAAAAGAUACUAUCAUACAAUGGAUAAGCUAUUGAUAUCGUAUUGAAAAGAUACUAACACAAACAUAAAAAGAUACUACCAGUGUAUUGAAAAUAUACUGACACAUACAUAAAAAGAUAUUAUCAGAGUGCCGAAAAGAUACUACCACAGACAUAGAAAGAUAUUAUUACUAUGUUGAAAAUAUACUAACACAGACAUAGAAAAAUACUAUCACUAUGUUGAAAAUAUAUUAACACAGACAUAAUAAGAAUGUAUGAUAUUGUAGGCAAAUCAUUCCUUAAUUGAAGAAUAAGCUCGAUCAGAGAAGCUAAUAUUCAUAUAUACGCACAGUAAUGCACUUGUGUGCAUUAGACUACAUGUGUGGGUUCAUCUGAAGCAUAAGUACGAUUAACUAGUCAAAUCUACAAUAAGACAACAACUAAUAACAUUCAAUUUCGCAAUCAACUAUAAUAUACAAGUUUCUAGUCAUUAUCGAUUCACCGAUAUCAUCUAUUAUGAAUCACAUUAUCUAAAAAGUUAUUGGAUCUUAUGCACACAGGUCCAUAAACAGAUUUAUAGCACUAAUAACAUUCAAUUGCGCAAGCAACUUUAAAAUUCAAGUUUCUAUUCAUAACUGAUCCACAAACCACACAAAUCUACACAAAAUCCGAACCAAAUGCAAGCCAAAUCACAGAUCUAAACAACGAUCAAUAAUCGCAGCACAAGAGUUACGGAUCUGAUGAGAAACGAAAGAAAGCGAAGACGAAUAAGAGAUCAGAAACCAUACCUAGAUACCAUGCUCAAGGCGAUAACGCUCCCACCAGGCAUUCUCGACCUCAAGGUCAUCUAGGCGUCUUCGAUGGAGCACAUGAGGCACAGGCGCUUUUGCUUAAAGAUGUAGGAGGCGACGCGGCGGGAAGAUAUGGUGGCCGGAGGAUGAUCGACGGCGACGACAACGUCAGAAUCGGAAUCGGAAUCGGAGGUCGAAGAGUUGAGAGACAGAGAGAGAGAGACGUUCCAAAUGUCGUUUUGGUGGGGGUGAGAGACGACUGAUGGAUUUAAGAAAUAUAGACCCGAGGGCAUUUUAGGUAUAGUACACAAGUAACCUAUUGGAGUUGGGCCUUAAAGUGGACUUGAAUAGACAAAAAUACUAGGGUGGACUUAUGAAAGAGAAAAUGUUGAAAAGUGGACUUUUAUCAAAUUUUCUAUAACAUUUAUGUGUUUUUUACUGUAUUGACCACGUUUUUUUGUUUUUUUAAUCUUCUAACACUGUUAACAUUGGUGUUAGUGCCAUCUAAGGGGUCAGAUCAAAUAAACGGUUGAGAUUAAAUUAUCACACUUGGUACACUUGAACCUUGGUGCAUACAAGAACUUCCGCUACUAAACUGCCUUAUAACUUAAUUGUGAAAACUAAAAUUCAACUAAGAACCAUCAUUGAAGUUUUGUCGGAGAUUCAAGCCUACUUAAUUUAAAUUAAAAGCAUGCAUAUUCAAAACUCCAAAAUAUGAUUAGUUUGGAGUUGGGAAUUAUCUAUGAAAGUCAAGAGCACUCGUGACUACUUCACG